CAACAGGCUCUCAUAUCCUUCUAAAAACAUCAAAAGAUACCUAAAGCCAAACAGACUCAGAAAGAAAAGAAAAAGACUGGAAGCUUCCGUGAGCGCAGUUGAAGUCUGCAGCAAGAGUGUUCUCGUUUUGAUGGAUAUGCCUUAUUCCAAGUCAACCUUUGAUCCAUCUUGCUUAAUACUGCCUUCAGUGAUUAACAGCAAGUUUCCAAGAUUUCAAGGCCUUCUCCAGAGCUGCUGGAGGUGUCUAAAUAUUAAUCUUUUGCAUGUAAGGGGCUGCCACAAAGAAGAGGGAGUCAAGCUAUUUUCCAAGGCGCCUGAAGGCAG